ACCCUCUGGAGCCGGGACACAUUUGGCCAAGUAAGAAGCAAGGAGAGGGGGAAAAAAAGUGCGAGGAAUAAGGCAACAUCAGCAAUACGACUUACCUUUUGGUAGAUGAAGAGGACGCAAGGCCGUGACCAGGAGGAUGAUGACGCUGUUGCACUCGGCCUAGUUUGGUUUCACCUUUUUCCGCGCACUGAACACAUGCCAGGAACAGGAUCCCGCGUCCAACAAUGAUGACAUCAGAGCCCUUGUUGUAGAUGACUUCCUCCGGAGUGGUGUACUGCUGGCCCAACACGUCACCUGUGGGAGGUGGGGGGAGAGAGAGAUCAAGAAGAGAUGGUUUGACAGGAAACUUUAACUGGGAGCGGCAAUAAACAGCGUGAAGCCUCUUUUUUGACCAAAUGUUUGUCGUUUGUUUGAGUUGCGUUCACUGCCACCAUACAGCUCUCAGGUCCCUCUCAUCUCAAGGCACCACUGUACUCGAGGAUGCCACACACUUUGCCGUCAGUGUUUGGACAACUCCUGAGCGAACGAUGCUUACCACAGCCUUGGUGUACUCCCCAGUCGCCAGUGAGCCCUGCGAGCUCAUCUGCGCAAUGAGCAGACAGCCUCGGCCCAGAGGUCUUCCGACAGAAGCCAGGCCGCUCACGACGCCGGGUCCCGGCACCGCAUGAGCGUUCACUAUGUGAGCCCACGACGAGAUCUGGUACAAACCACCUGCGGGACAUAAAAUAAUAAUAAAGAGGAUAUACUGUAAAAAAUAAAACACUUUAAAAAGUCUACAGACGAGUGAGUGGUUGGGGCCCACUGCGAAUUAGGUCCAAAGGCUGUUUGCAACCAAAGGGAGGAGCAUGACUAAAUUAUUUCAACGUUUGAAACAAACACAGUUUGGGACAAAUGCUACAAUGAAACCUGAACCUUCAGACGUCUGCUGGAAAGCAAAUAAAGAAACAAUGAAGUCUA